rnacentral:tRNA from 1 species
AAGGCCUUAAGUUAAGUAUAAACUAGUAACCUUCAAAGCUAUAAAUAAGGGAAUUCCUUUAGGCCUUG